CUGCAGUACGUGUACUCUCAGCUACUUACGCUGUGUACCUCUGACGUCACGUUCACGCUUUGCCACAAGGGGAAAUGUAUCCGUGGAAUUGCUUCCUGAUUGCGAUAUGACAUUAUAUUCUUAAUGAAGUUAACAGAUAGACCGGUGUUCUAUCGACCAAUACUACCUACCGAGACGUGCUACCGAGCCUUUCUGCGCAUGUGCAGUUCCACCGUCUCGGGUUUAAGUGAAUCAAGGAAAGUGAAUGAAGUAUAUUUAAGGUGCCUACGAACCAUGAGUUGUGUUUGGAAACACUGAUCAUC